UUCGCCCUUUUCCGGUUGAUCCUGCCGGACCUGACUGCUAUCGGAUUGAUACUAAGCCAUGCGAGUCAUUGUAGCAAUAUAAGGCAUACGGCUCAGUAACGCGUAGUCAACCUACCUUAUGGACGGGGAUAACCUCGGGAAACUGAGAAUAAUACCCGAUAGAACAUAAUUCCUGGAAUGGUUUAUGUUUCAAAUAAUUUAUUGCCGUAGGAUGGGACUGCGGCCUAUCAGUUUGUUGGUGAGGUAAUGGCCCACCAAGACUAUUACAGGUACGGGCUCUGAGAGGAGUAGCCCGGAGAUGGGUACUGAGACACGGACCCAGGCCCUAUGGGGCGCAGCAGGCGAGAAAACUUUGCAAUGUGCGAAAGCACGACAAGGUUAAUCCGAGUGGUUUCUGCUAAAGGAACCUUUUGACAGUCAUAGAACCACUGUUGAAUAAGGGGUGGGCAAGUUCUGGUGUCAGCCGCCGCGGUAAAACCAGCACCUCAAGUGGUCAGGAUGAUUAUUGGGCCUAAAGCAUCCGUAGCCUGCUUUGUAAGUUUUCGGUUAAAUCCAUACGCUUAACGUAUGGGCUGCCGGGAAUACUGCAAAGCUAGGGAGUGGGAGAGGUAGACGGUACUCGGUAGGAAGGGGUAAAAUCCUUUGAUCUAUUGAUGACCACCUGUGGCGAAGGCGGUCUACCAGAACACGUCCGACGGUGAGGGAUGAAAGCUGGGGGAGCAAACCGGAUUAGAUACCCGGGUAGUCCCAGCUGUAAACUAUGCAAACUCG
rnacentral:rRNA from 1 species